AACGAACGCUGGCGGCAUGCCUAACACAUGCAAGUCGAACGAGACCUUCGGGUCUAGUGGCGCACGGGUGCGUAACGCGUGGGAACCUGCCCUUAGGUUCGGAAUAACUCCCCGAAAGGGGUGCUAAUACCGGAUAAUGUCUUCGGACCAAAGAUUUAUCGCCUUUGGAUGGGCCCGCGUUGGAUUAGCUAGUUGGUAGGGUAAAAGCCUACCAAGGCGACGAUCCAUAGCUGGUCUGAGAGGAUGAUCAGCCACACUGGGACUGAGACACGGCCCAGACUCCUACGGGAGGCAGCAGUGGGGAAUAUUGGACCGUGGGCGAAAGCCUGAUCCAGCAAUGACGCGUGAGUGAUGAAGGCCUUAGAGUUGUAAAGCUCUUUUACCCGGGAUGAUAAUGACAGUACCGGGAGAAUAAGCUCCGGCUAACUCCGUG
rnacentral:rRNA from 1 species